CCAGACUCCUACGGGAGGCAGCAGUGAGGAAUAUUGGUCAAUGGGCGGAAGCCUGAACCAGCCAAGUCGCGUGAGGGAAGAAGGCCCUGCGGGUCGCAGACCUCUUUGGACGGGGAGCAAGGCCGCCGACGUGUCGGCGGAAGGAGAGUACCCGUAGAACAAGCAUCGGCUAACUCCGUGCCAGCAGCCGCGGUAAUACGUAUGGAGCAAGCGUUAUCCGGAUUUACUGGGUGUAAAGGGAGCGCAGGCGGUCCGGCAAGUCUGAUGUGAAAGGCGGGGGCUCAACCCCCGGACUGCAUUGGAAACUGUCGGGCUGGAGUGUCGGAGGGGCAGGCGGAAUUCCUAGUGUAGCGGUGAAAUGCGUAGAUAUUAGGAGGAACACCGGUGGCGAAGGCGGCCUGCUGGACGACAACUGACGCUGAGGCUCGAAAGCGUGGGGAGCAAACAGGAUUAGAUACCCUGGUAC
rnacentral:rRNA from 1 species